GAUGAACGCUGGCGGCGUGCUUAACACAUGCAAGUCGAGCGAACGGACGCGAAGCUUGUUUCUCUGAUGUUAGCGGUGGACGGGUGAGUAAUAAGAGGAUAAUAUCCUUAUACGACUGGGAUAACAUCGGGAAACCGGAGUUAAUACCGGAUAAUAUUUUGAAUCGCUCGGUUGAAAAGUGAAAGACGGUCUUGCUGUCACUUAUAGAUGGAUCCGCGCUGCAUUAGCUAGUUGGUAAGGUAACGGCUUACCAAGGCAACGAUGCAUAGCCGACCUGAGAGGGUGAUCGGCCACACUGGAACUGAGACACGGUCCAGACUCCUACGGGAGGCAGCAGUAGGGAAUCUUCCGCAAUGGGCGAAAGCCUGACGGAGCAACGCCGCGUGAGUGAUGAAGGUCUUCGGAUCGUAAAACUCUGUUAUUAGGGAAGAACAUAUGUGUAAGUAACUGUGCACAUCUUGACGGUACCUAAUCAGAAAGCCACGGCUAACUACGUG
rnacentral:rRNA from 1 species